rnacentral:lncRNA from 1 species
CAUUGAAGAUCCAAGGGUGGACAUUGAGUGGCUAAGGCUAUAAAUAGAAGGGUAAUCCCCUCAUUUUCACUCACCACACAACAAGCAAAUCAAAAGAGUUUUUCACUCCACAUUUGAGCUCUCCCACGUUUUUGCCUCCAACCUUCCAAAUGCUCAAGUGUCUUAGCUUUUCAAAGCUUCAAAAGCUCUUCAACUUCUUCUUCUAAUCUUCUUGUUCAUCUCUACAAGUAAAAAGUGUUGUUUGCUUUAAUAUUUCACUCCUCUAAUCACCUCUUGUGUGUGUCCACUUUGGUUGAAAGGGUUGUCUCAAUAGUACCAAAGUGUGAGAGAAGGUUUUUGAGCUCAACCAUAAAGCUCUAGUUUGGUUCUAUAGAGUUUCCGGGAAAACUCUUAGGUCGAAUCUACCUUGAAAGAUUUCUAAGUUUUUAAGAGUUCCUUGAUACUCUAAGGUGUGAGUAUACCCGUAAAAGACUGGUUCCUAAACGAAGUAGUUUUAAAGCUUAGAGAGGUUUUUAAGAGUUCCUUAAUACUCUAAGGUACUAACUUACCCGUAAAAGUUAGAGGUUCUUAAGAGUGCCUUUGAUACUUUAAGGUGUGAGUCUACCUGUAAAAAACUGAUUCUUAAGCGAAGUAGCCUUAAAGCUUAAAGAGGUUCUUAAGAGUUUCCUUGAUACUCUAAGGUUUUGUCAUAAUCUUUAGGCUAGUGAAUUUCGAUAGUUGGUCGAGACUGGAUUAACCCUUGUUUAGGUGAACCGGUAUAAAUUCUCUUGUGUUGUUCUUUGUUAACUUUAGUUUUUAUUUUUCAUCUAAAAACAACUAAACAACAAUUAAUUGAAAAGGAUCUCUCUUCCAGUUAUCUGGUCAAAUACAGAGGUUGACUACUUUACGCAGAUCCCUCAUCCAAUUAUCUGGUCAACUAUCUGAGAUUAUAUUCAUUGCUUUAAAUUUUUAUUCAUAUAUUUGUUCAAGCAUUUACUUAUCAUAUAUAUAUCCAGUUAUCUGGUAAUAUCUUGAUUAUCAAAUAUAUAUCCAGUUAUCUGAUCAUUUACUCUAUAAUAUAACUUGUGUUUAUAAUAUAACUUAGUAUUCAUAUACUACAGUUGUUUAUAAAACACUAUCUAAAAGUUGAUUCUGUACUCAUAUACUAUAGUAAACUUUAAGAGAAAAGACAAGUCUAAUAUAUUAUAUUCCUUAAAAUCAUAUAAUAGUAUUAUAUUGCUAACAAUAUUAUACUAUUAUUAUUAUACAACCAUUUGUGUACUUAAGUGUGUGCAGGUAAUUCCGCUAUUAAUCUGUACAAAUCGAAAAGAGGCUAUUAUCCCCCUUUAUAGCAUCGGAUUACGAUCCAACAGAUACUUCCACACAAGCAUAGUUCGUUGAAGGCAUCCUCCUUCCCCUCUUUCCCAAAAGAAGGCAAGGUUCGGAUUCGUCAACAAUUAAAUAAGUCGACUAGCUAGUCAGACGUGGGGUAAAUGUAGGGUAGCCAUCGCCACCCGUCCACCCCAAAUGAGAUCCGUCCCUAAGGAACGAAUCUCGCCAUACCCAAUUCGAGAUUUGGACCCACUACUAAGUAACAUUCGUUGGGGGUUAUUCUAGGUAUCCCCUCCAUCUCAUACAACAAAUAACAAGUCCUCUACAAUUGAGUUUUUAAACUUAAAUCUAAUCUAUCAUAAUUCAAAAACAAUAUACACAUCCACAGCUAUACGACAUAUCAGCUCUGAUGCCAGUAAAGAUAUACUAUAAUGUUUCCUCCUGUUACGUUCACCUUAAAUUGUCCAUGUGAUCGACCCAAGUAUAGUCAGUGGCGUAUCCAGGAGGGGCAAGGGAGGGCAAUUGCCCCCCUAAAAGUUGGAAAAAAAUCGAUGACCUAUAUGUAAUAAUUUUUUUUAUAGGGGGUAAGUGUAAUUUUCACAAUAUAUUAAUAUUUUUUAAGGGUUAAUAUAUAAAUUUCAAAAUAUAUUAAUCUCUCUAGUCUCUCCCUCUUCUCCCCCACUGCCCCACGUUUCACAAAUCUUCAAACCCCCUUCUCCCCCGUUUUCCCACAAAUCCAUCUUCUCCGGCCUUCGAGAAAAAUAAGUUGAUAGUAUUGCAAAAACAUUGGAUAUGAAAGAGUUAAAUACUGGACAAGGAACAACUAUAGACAACGAAGUUAUUUUAAAAAUAUUUAAUGAUACGUGUCCUCGUAGGACAUUGAAGUAAUGUAAAAUGUAUUUGAAAUUUUUAUUGUUAAUUAAAUAAAUAUAUUUAUUUUUAAUUUGAAUAUUAAUUAUGAAAUGAAUGUAUUG